CACCCUUUCAGUUAUUAACUGAUUAUAAUUACCUCCCCUGAAUGACGUCAUCCGGGGAUACCCGAUUAUCGACUGUAAGCAAACAAAGAGAUGUCUGUUUGACAAUGUGUGUUUUCAACGGUGUAAAUGGACUUAAAAUAUGAACGAAAAGAUUAAUGACCACGACUAUGCUGUCCAGUUUUACACAGCAACACCAGUAUUCGACUCAAAACCGGAUGGAAAACAGAUUCAAGACAUUACUGUAUCACUCAAGAAGAAGUUGAAGUCUAACAGGAUCUGCUGUGUGCCCAAAUGUCACACCACUGGCUAAGGAUUGUUAGAAGGCCAUGGAAAGCCCAGCUAUCAUGCAUUUCCAGCUGAAGAUGAUCCAGUUCAAGCUGUUUGGUUGAAUAAAAUACGAAGAGAUGAAGACAGACAUUUUAAGAUAAGUCACAAUACGGUUGUCUGUUUUCUCCAUUUUGAACGUGACUGUCUUGAUGAAUCUGGAUUUGCUAAGCGGAGGUAUCUAAAACCAGGAGCCAUCCCUACACUAUUCGACUGCUGGAAGGACAAACCACAUCUGUUGAAGCGAAUUCAAGUGGAACGUGCAAUUAACAAGAUUAAAAGUUUUCACAUAUUUGAUCAGGUCAUUCUGGAUUCUCUGUUUGGGAUAAUU